AUCAACACCCCCUAAGGGUCCCCAGCUGGCAUGUUGGCAGCGUAUAACGCACAGAAGAUGUCGGUGUUGGUUUUUUGUUUUUUUUUUUUCUGGGGUGGAUCCACUAUAGGUAACUUGGCAGGCUCAGCUAUUUACGGAGCCCGCUGCCUCUCUACAAACUGUAAUUUAUUUAUUUCAGCCUGUGAUGUAUAGCGAAGAAGAGUAGGAUUUUGUCACUCGCUUGCAGGUCUCCUCAUCGAUGCAUGUCAGGUUUGUGUGUGUGAGUGUGUGUUUUUCUUUUUCAUCUAGCAGAUUGCGGGGGCGGUAAACGUGAGUAGUCUUCCGUGUAGAAUGGAAAGCCAAACUUCUGUGGCGAAGACCCCAAGCCUUUCUCAAACAAACACCUGCUGCUGUUGCUGGGGGCUACCUACAACGCUCCCCCGACAACACACACUUGCACACACCUCAUUAGACGGCGGCUGCAGCUGGCAAAAGCAAAGAUGGAGGGGAGGUGGGUUCUGUGUUUGUGUAUUCACCCAGCAGAGUUCAACAGAAGGAUGCUGCCACUUGGAAGAAGGGAGCUCCUGAAAGAAGGUGCAAAUGGAAAAGCGAGGUGUGGUUAAUAACCUGCAAACGACUCCCUCUUUUUGACCUUAGUGAUAGAGGAAAACACACUUCAAAUAUUUGGAUCAAAUGGAGAGGAUGAGACUGGUCUUCAUGGGUAAGACAAGAGAAUCGAAUCCCAAACACUUCUGUUCCAGUGGAAUUGUUCUCUUCCAGGAGUCAAGAAUUUGCAUAAACUCAACUCCUAUCUACAGUGAUGCCCCAAGUCUCUAAAAGAAGAGGACACAGGAAUCCAUUUUUAGCAGAUAAAGUCAUUGAGGCAUAGAGAAAUGAAGUGAUUUCCCCAAGGCCACGCAGUAGCCUACUGGAGGAUCCAGGAUUAGAACCCAUAAGCUUCUGACGCCUAGGCUCUACCCACUGCACCAGCCUGCUUUCCAGUGUCGUCCACCCAGGCAAUACCAGCAAUGGAGACAAGGUUAGUCCUUUGCAUCUGAUGUCAGAGAAGGCUAGAUUUAUACAACUUCAGUCUCCUCAGAAUUGAUCUAUGAUACGAUGUGGGUGAAAUGGAAAGAGCAAAGAGGAAACCAGCUGAUUACAAUCGCAGAAGGGGAUGAAUACAUGGAGAAAGCACACAUGACCACGGCUACCAACCACACGGUAGAAAUACCACUUGUCGACGACCCGAUAAGCCCCGGAUGUCGGUCAGCGUUCUGAAGCCUUUCAGAGUGUUCCAGAAGUUUCAGACCACUCCUUGGACUGGAGGCUUCCGGGUUGGCGCAAAAUUUAAUCCCACGCCUGGUGAAGAAGCUGCAUGGAAAGAGGGCUUCUGAUACUGAGGACAGACACCUUUGCUUCUAAAGAGCAUCAAGCCUUGUGCAAACAAAUCCUCACACUCCAGCAGUGGGGUAGAUACUAUCUACUCCAUUUCACAGAUGGAAAAACUGAGGCCUGAACCAGGCUCUAGCAGUCGAGAAGCCACCUUGAUGGAGAAACUGAGGCACCAGUCAGUCAAGGGACUUGUCCCCAUCCUUGAAGCCUGCCCGUAGCAGAGUGGGAAAUCCGUCCCCGUCUCUCCGUCUUCUCCACACCUCAUUCUAAAGGUCAAGACACCACCUUGCCGCCAGCUUGCCUUCAAAACUGGAACCUCAAAGUAAUUCAUUCCCAAACUUACCUUCCACUACGUAGGUGCAGAGGGCGCAGAGACAGAAGGUGACCAGGAUGAGAAGUUUCAUAAUUGCCGGCAGAUGGAUUGGGUAGCAGGAACAGACAGAGCCAAGCACCGAAUUAAGCGCUGGAGGCCCCAAAGAGACAAUGAAGACCAGAGUCCUGGCUGAGCUUUUAUCGGCUGGUGAAAGCGCAUUCGCUGGAAAGUUCCAAUUCACCCAUUCUGGUGGACGGAAAGGCGGGCGAGAGGGCCGGCAGAUUACAAAAGGCAAGUCAGAGUUACAUGUACAAAAGCCACUUUGGGUAGAACAGACCACCGUGGAAUGCCGACGUUAAACCUGAGAGCCACGGACCAGCAAGCGGUUGCCAAAGUGACCCUCUAUGGAGCCACUGAAGCCACAUAACCCAGUAGAGUCCUUCUCUCUCCAAGGCCGUGGUUAAGACCUCUUCCGGAAGUCCUCCCUUCUAUAAUCCAACAGGUUCCAUCGAAAAGCCCCCCUAUUUCACUGGAGGAAAUGGAAAAAACCUCACUCGAUAAAGAAGCAGAAAAUUCA